CAAUAGCGUAUAUUAAAGUUGUUGCAGUUAAAAAGCUCGUAGUUGGAUUUCGGGGCAGCCUGGCUGGUCCGCUGCAAGGCGAGUACUGGUCAGCCGCCCUUCCUCUCGAAAGCCCCGACUGCUCUUCGUUGCAGUGGUCGGGUAGUUCGGGACGUUUACUUUGAAAAAAUUAGAGUGUUCAAGGCAGGCCUACGCCUGAAUACAUUAGCAUGGAAUAAUGGAAGAGGACCUCGGUCCUAUUUUGUUGGUUUCCAGGGCCGAAGUAAUGAUUAAGAGGGACAGUUGGGGGCAUUCGUAUUUAAUUGUCAGAGGUGAAAUUCUCGGAUUUAUGAAAGACGAACAACUGCGAAAGCAUUUGCCAAGGAUGUUUUCAUUAA
rnacentral:rRNA from 1 species